rnacentral:misc_RNA from 1 species
UUAACUAUUAUAUAGUACUCAGACGACACUAAGAUUCAGAGUUUAGGGGUCCUUUGGCGGGCACUUACCAGCCAGAGCCGGUAGCCGAAGCGGCCCGCCAAAGCAACAAAGGUAUAGUAUUCAAGGAUGGGAGAUCUACCCGUGAGGGCAUGAACUCUGUAAUGAUCCUUCCGCAGGUUCACCUACGGAAA